GUUAAUACUGUAGUGGCCUGGAUUUGCAGCUUCACGUUCUUGCUGUCUCUUUCCUGGUUUUGGUCAAGAUACACUCAGGGUUUUAUUCUUUUGUGCCCACCUUAGCAGAAAAAUAACCAUGAGAAUUUAUACCACUACAAUUCCUGUUCCCAGAAGAACUGUAGGUAAAUACUACAAGCUGCAUUUGAUUUGAUUUGAGAUCUUGUUUCUGUUGCUGAGGAACAUUUUCCCUGUGAGGAGGGCAGUCAUCAAAGCCACAAUGAUUCACGCAGCUUUACAAAGGGAAGGUUUGCCAGCUGUGUUCUCCCAAGCUGUUGCUAAGCUUGUGAAUCAGAUCUACCUUAUUUGUUCCCACAGAGCCAGGGACUUCGGCUGGAGCUGUGGCUGGAGGAGGACUGAGUGGUAAUGAGGGCUGGGUCAGGAGGGGGGAUUUCUGCUCCAGGAGAAGCCCUGAUGCUCCUCAGCUCUUUUUGUUACGAAUUGAGAUGAGAAAGUGAAAUUUGGAAGUCUCCCAUGAGAUAUGUAUUUAGAAACUAGUCAGGAAAAAGAGAAGUCUAAAUAAGACUAAAUGACGUUGAUUUGUUUCUACUCUCCUAUUGUAUAAAAUGGAAAAACAAGACAUCAGGCAGUAAGACAUGUCUGAGUACUGACACAAAUGCAAUGCAGAUUUUAUAUGUGUAGCCGUGGAAGCAAAAAGAUCAUAAUGAAAUGGAAUGCAUCAAUGCCAUUGAAAAGAAUCACUGCGGCGGUGAUGAAAGGCUGUGUUUUGACAUCCUCCUGUUGUAAAAUCUCAUUGAAAUUGACAAACUGCCGAGAAAUAUUUUGAUUUUGAAUAGACUGUACUGGAUGAGAAACUGCACUGUUGAAAAUUUUUCAGCUGGCUCCAUUGCAAACUGAGUAAACAGCUGACGAGCAGGCCAUCGGUGUUGCUGGAGACAGCAGGACAAACACAUGAGGGUCAAAUCCUGAGCAUUUCAGCAGUCACUCAGAAUACCAUUUGACUUGAGCAGGAAGCUGGACUGAAUGUGAACGACGGUGUUUGGCACAUGGUGGGUGUCCAGAUGGCCUAGUGUUAGGCACUGCCUUGUGAGGGUGGAUCCCACCCAAGUUAUUAUCAAAGAUUCUUGCAACAGCCACGGGAGAUUGGCGAGUCAGAUCGCCUUCAUUAGGAGCCAAAUUCAGGUCUGCUAAAUCACCUUCUAAAUUUCAAGCAGAUGAAAGAUGCUGCAGGAGGAAGAAGAUGACAAGAAGUGUUGCUCACUGGAUUGUGUGUACUGGAAUGCAUGCUCACAUCUUCUGCUGGAGGGGACCUCUGCCAAGGGAGAGCAUCACUUCGGAGGAACUGCUGGUUCAAAUUGCCUCCUAAUCUCUUCAAACUGGCUUUCCUGUACAGCCAUGGCACCUGGACCUCAGCAGUCUGGUAAGUCUGCAAGUCUGCACUGUUCUGUUGUCAGGUUCAGAGAAAGAUGAAACAAAAAUGCUGGAGUCCUGGGUUGCCUCGCAUCCAGUAAUUCCUUUUUAACUAGUUGGAGUAUGCACCCGAAGUGCUGAAGAACAAUAUCCACUUAAUGUGCUGUUAGAUAGAAAUGUGCGCCCUGCUUUUGAAGGUGUAAUGAUGCCCUGCUUUGUCUUGGGUGCAGGGCUCAGUGCAGUGUAGCCUGAGGAGCUGCACUGGAUGCUCUAAAACCGCACUUUGGUUGCACUGACAGUUGUGGCAAGAGAUGCAGAAUAAUGCCUGACGCCUCAAAUGGUGUGCAGGGCUAUUACAUGAUGAAUGGAUUUGUCUUGGGAAUUGGAAGUCAUGGGUGAUAGCUUUAUGGGAGCAGAAAAGACUUCUGGAUGUUUAAACAAGGAAGGACACAACUCUGGAUUUAUACAAACCAUAUUUAAUGUAAAACCCUAAUGAAGGGUAAUGCUUUGACCCCAAGGAAGGUGUGCGAUUGCAAUGAAGCUCUGGGAUGCCUUGCUUGUUGAUGGUAUGCAGAAGCUUGGCAAACUUGGACUGGGAGAUGGACAUUAUUACAUGCCAGUGUGCAACCAGACUGCUACCAUCACAGCACUCUGGCCAUCCUGAACACAUGAUACUGGUGAGGUAUUUGACCACACGCUUGUGCAAUGCCUCUAGUUCCUCCCUGCCUGCCUCCACACAAGCUGUGCUGUGAGUUUUACUUUCCUUGUUUAUUUUGGUUGUACCUGUAUGUUCUCCUGCAGAUUCAAAGCUCUGAAGAAGCUGUACUGACUGCCUGUCUUGGCAUGACUGACUGCUGCUGAGUUUGCUGGAGAAAUUAAAACUUGUCUUGCAGAAGAUGGACUCACUGGUUUUAUUAAUAUUACAAAAUAGCUAGCUUUGACAAGCAGCCAAGAGUGGAGCUAGUCCCUUUCCCAGCCACAGGUUGUCUCAUAGUGAACCCUUCUUUCACUUGGCAGUGCACAGCAAAUGUGAGAACUAUGCCUCUUCCUGCCAUGGCUCUCAUGUUACUCUCAUCUCCAUCAUGCUGUCCAACUCAGCUUAGCUGAGUGUGGAAGCUGCUUCUUCACCCAAGUCAGGUGUGCCCAGCUGAAUGAGGGAUGGGGACACCCAACAUCCUGAUGGAACAGGUCCCACAGCAAAACUCUGUGUCUAUAUAGGAGGUGCCUUGAGUCACUGAUGGCAAACAGGUCCCAUGGCAAACUGCGUGUCCAUAAUAGGAGGUGCCAUGUUGGCUGGAUGCCCCACGGUUGGUUGAUAUGACCCUUCCCCUCUCUCUGAAGGGACACAACUUGACUUUUCUACAGCUCCAGGUAGAGGAGAAGCACCACUGGCUGCAAGAUCUGGUAUCGGGGAAUACCUAACCACACCUAUACUGUGCAUGGUGGAUGUGUCAGCUUUUGUGCCCCAGCAGACCAAGGUCCUGCAGCACAUCCUGGAGUUCAGAUCUCAAACCAACCCUGCUGCCUUGCUAUCAAGCACUUCCAGAUCUGGGGUUUUGGCUCAUUCCAAGCUUGCCUCUAAGUAGAUAGUGAUGUCCUUAAAUACAGAGAGAGCUGAGAACUUAUUGGAGGAGUUAAGGCAUGCACAUCCAACGAGGGUCUGGAAAAUAGAAGGAGAAUGAAGCCUGCCUGUGAGGCUGUGCAGAUAGCCACGGCUCAGCUGUGUGCUCCAGCCACAGAGCACUAAGCCAUGACAGGAGGCUGGCGCAGGAUCAUCGCAGAUUAUUAGUGCCUCCUGCUUUAUAAGUGAAGCUCUGGGGGAGGAAAUAUGUAGUGAAGUGAAACUGGUGAUUGUACAGGCACGCCAGCGAUUAAGGUUGAAGUGGGUGGGCAGUCUGUGGGGGCUGGUGUGUUAACUCCAGCCAAGGAGAGGCACAGGCUUUCCAAUCUCUGCUAUCUCAGUUUCAGCACUGCAGACAACCCAUCGGGGUGUCAUUAACAAGCAGUUACUUCACUCUCGUUGCUGUGCUUUAAGGAAAUAUGUCAAAGGCAUUUCUGGUGAGCAAGGGCUCGGUGCGAUCAGAUUGCUCGAGCCUUCUCACAGCAUUCCAUUCAGAUUAUAAUACACAAUAGUUCAGACCCUGCUGUGUCCCAUUACUCAAUUAUGAAAUUGCUUUAGAAGUUGGGAGCUUACUGAUUGGCUCAGAAUGAUUUCAUACCCAUCAUAUUUCUGUGUGUUUGUGCUCUUGGGCCGAUUGCUCCUUCUCGUUGGUUCAAGCUGCUUCACUCUUCACUUUCAUGCAUAAGAAUGUAUUUUAUACUUUCCCUUACCACUCAGUGUGCUCAGUCUCUUCAGGUUGGAGGCAGAGGCACACACAACCUUUGAGGUCAGUUGCUGUGGGUUGGGAAUCUUAAUGUAGUUGCACAGCAGCAAGGAGAACUGGAAAGAUGUAGUGAAGUGAAUGCACAGAGCUCUUCUGCCUUGCUGUGGGCUGUUUGGGAAAGAGGGCUGGAACUGUAGAGCAGUCCAUUUAUGACAUAUCUUGCCUUCCUACUGAAUCCUCGAGUUUAGGAUCACUAAGAAUCACAACCAGUAGGUAUAAUCAGCCUAUACAAAAUUUCACUUUGUUUACAAAUUGUAUGGAAGAAGCAAGGAAAAAGUUAUAUGGACUGUUCAGGUAUGAUUUGCUUUUGUGGAUCCCCCUUUGUGGUUUGUGGGGAUUUUACACCUGUUUGAACUGACUCUGAAACCUGAAUGUGUGCCAGAACAGCCAGUUUGUUGGUAUGCCGUGCAAAAAUGGAGUGAACAAGAACAGAGACCGGGCCAUUCAACUCAUUCAUCCUUAGGACCCGUUCGUAUCCAUCCAAGGAGAGCUGAAGCAAAGUCCUGUUCUAAAUUAAAAGAAUGUUAUAUGCUCUGGUUUGGGGAGCCAAAAUAAACUCAGUCUUUGAACUUUCCUAAAACUAACUGCAAGCGAUCACUUUGGGCACCUAUUGUUAUUAGCAGUGUCGGUUUUCAGAAACAUUUUGUACCAAUCAAAGUAAAAAAAGCUGGGGCUGAUGGACUGACGGCACGUGGAGUUGCCAGGGCCUAUUAGAACGAUACCACUGACAUCUUCUAAGGCGGUGCUGAGCUUACCAAUUUCCUGCAUAGAAAAUGUCCUUGGUAUGCAAUUAAUAGUUUUCUCUCUUCUUCAUUAAUAAAGGAAUGUGACUCAGCAUCAGAGCACACUGCCUGGGAGGCUGGAUGUGUUUAGGAGCCUGUGUGCAUGGCCAAGCAACUGGAUGCCAGUGACCUGGUGCUCAAGCCUUGAUCUGCUAUUCAGAGGGGAGAGACUUCUUAAGAAAAAGCCUGAACCGUGGCAGUCCCUUAAGAGUUUCUCCUGGGCCAAAUACUGAAAUCCUCUCUAGGUUAAUUCUUCACUGGAGACAUUCAGAGAGUUGCACAAGUCAAAAUGAAAUGAAGACACUGGAUCUGUCUGGCUUGUUUUUAGGGAAUAAUUUAUUUCCCAGAAUCAGCAUUUAAGAGCAUUUUUUCCCCUUCAGUUCAGAUUAGACCACCAGCAGGUUUGUUUCACCCUCUAGGUGUUGUCAGGGAAUUACUGGAAAGCAGCACAACUUUCUAUACCUUUGAUGCUCUUAAAAUUAUAGCCCCUUUUCCCUACACAGAGAUGUAGCUAGAAGGUCUGUGAAAGGUUUUAGCUCAUGUUUCCAAGAAAGAACCACUGAUUUUCUGAUGAGUUAAGGCUUUGGCAACAGCAAUGGGAUUCUCUCACCUGCCAGCAGAUAAAAAUCACUGUAAAUGUUCACCAUUCUGGGCUAAACUAUCUAGCCAGUUGAAAAGCUAGUAUUGUGCCAUCUGAAUUUUACCCUUUCAGGAUUUCCAUUGAACAGGGUUGUUCUGACAGUCUGCCAUCCCACUAGCACAGAGAUGUGCUUAUCUUGCAAAGUUAUUUCACUUAUAUUAACUCAUUGUGUUUACUUAUUUAAAUAUUCUCUGCAGAUGAGACAUAUGGCAAACGCUGGCCAACUUAGUCUCAGCUGCUUCUCAGAUCCAGAUGCUAAUAUCAUUUCAUAACUUGGCUUGUGCAGUUCAGAUCUGUACCAAAAGAUUCUGUUUUGAAUUACCAUUAUAUUUGAUAUUAAUACUAAGCAUACUCACAGCUGUCCUACAUUGCUAUUUCCACCCUCCCUGGGAUUCGGAUCUCAGACAGAGAACAUAACACUCUUCCAUGUCUGCCUCUCAGGCUUUUAGAUCUAUCCUGGGCUCAUAGUGUACUGUCUGCAGCAAAGAGUAUGCCCUAAUUACCUCUGCAUUGUAUGUACCUUAGGGUCUUUCUGGGAUCAGGUCUAACCUGGGUGGUUUUUCCAGCACCAUAAUAGUGACCUUUAAUAGGGCAGUCCAGAAAAGACUGAUGUGGGGAUUGUUGAGUCUCUGAGGGCAUUUGGGACUGGAUUUCUGAAGUGUUUAGUCACCUGAAGAUGGGGAAUAGUAUCUAAUGGGAUUUUCCAAACCACAAUGGGCUCAGAUCCUCAGUGUUAUUAAAUGCCUUUGUCUCAAUGAAGCCGAUGAGAGUGAAGCAGCCAAGCAUGCCGAGGGUGUGGAUGCCUAUGCCCUGUACUCUUGGACAACAUCUGCACUGUCUGUAAGAGCAUCAGCACCUUUAUGAGUCUGGAGAAGCCAGCCCAGCCCCAGAAGCUGAGCACAGAACUUCCUUGAGCUGUGGAGGUUGUGCUCACACCUUGCCUUCAGUCUGGAAGAUGCACAGAAGUGAAACGUUCCCAACUCAGAGCCUGUGUCGCUAUGGAGAGGAGAAAGAUCAAACAACCCAAUUCCUUGAGCCUUCUGAGUGUGGCUGAGCAACACCUUUGUGUCCGUGGCCAGAGGUCCCACAGCACUUGGCUUUCCAGCAGCAGCUCCAUACAGUCAUCACACAAAGAGUCGGGGAAAGGAGGACCUGUCUGGAUAAUAAGCCAUCAUUUCGUCCCAUGCUUAAAAGAAGCUCUCUGUGCUUUGAACAGGCCAAAUAACAUUUUCCCCCAUAAUUUUUUAACUUUGGGCACCUUUGCAAAUUACUCUCCUGGCUGGGAAGGAGCCCAGGAGUGCCAGAACACCAUGGGAAGAGGCUGCUCUGUGAUACUGCCAACCUGCGAAGGAGGAGGAAAUGCUGGAAAUCCCCUAAGCACGCCUGUUUUCUUGAGAUUCCCAACUCGAUUUUGCAAACUCAGAAGAUUUUAUAUAAUUUGGUUUAGUCGGUUCAGAGGUUUAAGGCACUUGGCUGUGCAUCUGGAUUGCAUCUUUGGGGUGGGUUAUCCAAAAAAGUACUCAGAACAGUAUGAAAUUCAUCCUUCGCUAGCAAAACUGAAGGAAAACAAGAGCACGGGAAGGGAGUUUCUCCUCUCUGCUUGCUGUGCUGGACACUGGGUGUGAACCUGUGAUCCAUGCCUGUGCCACUAGACGCUGUGCCUUGUGCCAGCAGAUGGGACAUCAGCCCACUGACCACCUGUCUUCAGAGCAAGAAAAAAAGGAACAGAGAGAAUUUAAAAAUAAAUCUCUCCUCUGAUGUGCAAGCACAGCAAGCACAGCGAUGACACACAAGCUACAGAGCUUUGUUCAGGCUUCCCUGUCUGACAGAGCGGGCCUUAAAAACCCCUUACAUGGAAUGAUUCAGGUUGAAAAGUGCAAGUCAAUCUGAAAUAGAAACAAAGAAACAGAAACAGUGUUAAGAGCCCUUUGAUUUUGUCACUGUAGAAACCAAGGGGUCGCGCAGUGAUGCAACAGUGUCCAUGGAAGCCUAGAGCCCAUCUGCAGGUGGUGCUAACACAGAGCUGUCCCACAGCACUGGCAACUGGCAGCCACCAGCACCUCCGGGAUGGGCUGGGCUGGGCUCUGCCUGCGGGCAGCUGCUUUAGGUGGUGGGUGAAAAGAGUCCUCUGUCUUGAUGGGCCAACUCUUCCCUUUAGAUGUCUGUGCUCACCUCCCAUUAACUUUGGUAUGAGCUGAGCUCAUGCUUCCAAGAGUGAAAUUUGGCUUAUGAUUUCUGCAUGCUUCGGGAUCCCUUGGGUACCAUAUAAAUGUAACAUACUGUGAUUCAGUGCUAAAGAGCAGAGAAAAUGCAACCUCCCAGGAGACACAGUGAGAGAAAAUCAUAUAGAGCCUUUGUUUAACAAAAUAAGGAAAGAUCAAGAAAAACAAUUGAGAUUCAUUCCAAAGCUGAGUUCAUUGCACAGCAAGGAUGGAACUCACAUCCCUUACCCAGUGAUAGCUUCUUUGACAUGGAUGAGUUAGGGCCCAUUGGACCAGGCCCCAGUUUUGAAGGCAUUAUUGAAAAUGUCUUACCUCCUAUAUUUCCUGUUUUUUAAUCAAACUCACUGUGCUGCCAGAGGUGUUUCAUUUACCAGGAGAGGGGUCAGCGAGGCAGCCACGAGCAACAGGAAAUAAAGCACCGUGCAGCCCCUCCCUGCCUGGACGAGGGCUGGGGACGGCAGUGCUGAGCUCGGUGCUGUCUGCCUGCCCCAUGGCAUCCUGCAGCCAACAUGGGCACUGAGGGACUGCCUGCUGGCUCUGCCACGCAGCCCCACACCAAUGGAAACAGCAAAUGGUACAUACAUCCUAGAAUUCUAUUUUCUAUCUACUGCCAUAGUUUCUUGGCUUGUUGCAACUGUCAUAAAAUUACUUUAGUAUAUUUUCCCAUCUGUCAUGUUUUUGCUUCUUUAGAGGGGGAUGUUGCGUGAUGUUUGUAUCUAAUUUAGCUUUAAACUUGUUGUCUGGCUGUUGUUCAUGGAAAAUGAAUGUUGCAUUUGCAGAAUAACCUGUGGCUUUCCUGUAGCACCAGAGAGAACGUUUGCAGGCAGCAAACAUGGCUGCAACCAGAUGGACAGGACUGCUCAUUCCCUCCUGCCCCAGAUCCUCUGCUUUGAAUUGUGGCCUUGGCCAUGGCCAGAGGAGCUCUAAUUACUUGUUAAUUUAGCUGUCCUCCUGCAUUGCCCAGCCAAGGGCUCUCCAUCAUCACUUUCACCACUGCUGAAGCCAUUCAUUCAAUCUUAACUUUAACAACCUAAGUCUUAGAAUAAUUGGUUCUUCAACGAAAAGCACAGAGAACAAUAACCAGGAGCACCUGCUCUGCCCACCUUGCUUGUUUUCCUUUCUUCUCUUUGCAUCCAGUCUGACUGCUGGUUCUCAUGGUCUGCCUGAGCUGGAGAGUAAUCCCAUCCACUCCCCUGCUCAUGUUGUUGUUUGUUUAUUUGUUUCCCCCUAUAUUUUUUACUGCUAGUGUAUAUUAAAGAUUUUGUUUUGCUAAAUUGUUGAGGCUGUUAGAUGAAAUCCAGCCUUUAAUCUAUGUGGUUUGGUAGUACCAAAGGACUUCUGAACACACAAAAUCCUGUUUGAAGAAGAAAAAAGUGAAGUCUGAGAAUCCUAUUUGUGAACCUUCAGAGAAUCUCUCCUUCCUGCCCCGAGUGUAUUACACUGUACUUCUCAAACACAGUUUUAUCUCCAAGAGAGGAAGCAAUAACUGUUCUUAUCAGUGGACCAGAACCUACAUCAUGCACACAGCAUGAGGCGAAGAAAUCCCAUGCACCUGCAAAUGGCCACAGCUUCAGCACAAACAGAAGCAGAGAGAGCAGCUGUGUAGGGAGUUGAGUCAAGGACUUUGAGCAAGUGUGUGUGCUGUCUACCAGGGUUUUGUGAACAGCAAGGAAGCUGGAGUGUGACUUUGAAAUGCAAUUGUAACAUUUACAGGCAUCAUAGGCAAUCAGUUGUUUUUCGAUUGUGGUUGUCUAACUGGAAAGUAUGGAUGAAGUUUCAGCCUCUACAUCUGUCCAACUGUUUGACACCAACAGUUUCAGAACCGUUUCAUAAUUGUAUAAAAUGAUAGUUCCUAUCUGCAGAUUGUAGUAAAAUUGGUAAAAGAAAAAUCCAAGGCAGGAUGUGAAACUAAUGCCUGAUUAGAGCAGUGCAAUGUCGCUUCUGUGGCUGCUCUCUUGGCUUCCACCUCUGUACCAGCAGUGCUGCACUUCUAGUGGAUGCUGUCCUCCAGGAUUAAGAAGGAAUAAAGAGAAUCAGAUGCAGAAUCAUUGCCUGUGCUGGAAUUCAGCUGAUGAAGACCUCAAAAUGAACUGGCAAGGAGGUUGCAUUUGAACUCUGCAGCCCCUAUGUUCAGUUCUUUAUUAACUUUUUCAAUGUGUUCUAUUACGGUCACAAUAUGGGAGCUAUCUUGCAGCUAAUUUAACACCUGUAAAUUCCCAUGGCUGGUAAUGAAACAUUGCAUAGACUAGUGGAUGAAGCAUUUGCUUCAUAUAUCAAAGGUCAUUAGUUCAGUACUUGUUAAUGCUGUAGCUUUUAUUAAAAUUUCUUUUAGUUUUGGUUUUCUUUUUGCAUCAGCCCCUUGCAGGCUGAUUAAUUCUUCUCCUUCCCAAAGCUAAACACAAAACAAGAGCAUCUAAUCCAGAGAACCGGGGCUAAAUUCUGAGCUGAAGUCUUGAAUUAUGCUGCCUGAAGUUAUCCCUUCAAAACCUCCCCAGCUGCCAUGAGGGUGGCAGUGUGACAGCAGGAGACACGUCAUCGUGGCCAGGUCACAGUGACACAAGUGACAUGAGUGACACUGCGGCUGGCACCUUCUAUCCCUUCUGCCCAGCCUGAGCUGUAUCAUCACUGCUCUGGCUGAGAAGAGCAGAGGCAGCGAGCUCCAGCCCUGCAGCUGGUGUUGCUGGAUGUUUUCUAUCCAACCUGACCCUUUCUCAACCCUGACAUGGGUUGGGUUCACCACAGUAGCCAACUUUUCAAAACACAACCAGCACAAAGCAACAUUAUAAUGAAAGUAAGCAGCUUCUGGAGAUGAAAUCACAUGAGCCGUGCAUCCAAAUGCGAUGCUGCAGCUUCUGGGAAACGCUGAGCAUGCGCUUCUUCACCUUGCAAGCUCUUGGCAUGCGAGCUGUUUAUCAAAAUAACAACUCAUUGAAAUACAGCCCAAAGGACUGCCAGGAAGGUUGAAUGAAGCACUGUUGUUUCCAGCACACCAUGGUCUCCAUUGGUUUCUCCAGGAGAGGGAAGUGCGUGGGCUCCAGGAACGCACCCCAUGCCCAAAGCCCACUUGGUUCUGCCUGCACACAGAGCUGCCAUAGGACUGCACUUCAUCCAGUCCUGGACAUUGCUUUGUUAGCAAAGUGCCACCUGCCAGGAGUCCAAUCCUGGGGCAUCAUUCUAGUCAUCCAGGGGGAAAAGAAAUGUACUCCUGACACCAUUAAUUUGAUCUCUAAAUUAGCUAUGCUUUUUAUUAACAACUUUAUGCUGCAGGAUGUCACAAGCUAUUUGGUUGUUGGUAAGACACACAUGCUGAUUUAUAUUCAUAUCCGUGCCUGCCUUAUAGCUGGCUCUGUGACGCUACUCAUUAAUUCAGGAUUGAAAUGUCUUUCUCACUCUGUGACAUUUGGGAGCCUGAUAUAUUUUACAAAGCUUAUUAAAACUCAGGUUUGUACUUCAUCUCUCAGUGUGCAGUCCCAUCCCUGCUUGUCUGUUCCACUGGAGAAUCUUGCUCAGUUUGCAGAGUGAGACAAACAAACCCCGAGGCACACAUCUAUUUUAGACAAUGGAAGAAAUAAUUGUUAGAAUGUCAGAGGGGUUCCAGAAUUAGCAGCAGCUUCUGUCUGAAUUCUGAAUAGUAUUAUUUGCAGUGGCUUAUCUGCAUGGGUAACAUCAAGCAAUUCUUCUAUUCUCAAACAACCAGCACCAUUCAGAACCAUGCUGCUUUCAGAUCAGCAGCAGUGAAGCCCAUUUGGCUCAUGUUUUAGUGACGGAGCCAUUAAACCCAUGGCCUGGAAGCAUGCUCAUGUGCUCAGAAGAGCCAGGAUAGCUGCAAGCAGCAGCCAGCACAGACCACAUCCCCUGGCACUUGGGUUCAGCCUCGUCUGCUCCAGCCCUUUGCAUGGCUGCGAUGGGAGAUGCUGCUGGGCAUCUGGUUAGCACUGUGCAGUCAGCUGGAAGAUCUAAAUGACCUUAAUAUAAAAUAUAAUGGCAGUAAUUAGCCAACAGGGCAGAGGACAGCUUAGCUCCUCUGUGGGUCCUGGGGCCCAGUAAGGCCACUUUGGCACCCCAGCACCCAUGCCUUGGCCACCACCACACCAGGAUCAGCAAACAGGCUGUGGAUCCUUUCAAUGAGCUCACUCUGGUUUUGUGGCAAUGUGACAUCACAGCCCCAAAGCCACAGAGGAUGGCACUGCCACACCUGUGGGCACAGCCAGGCUGCCCUGCAUGGCUCAGCUGCUGCUUCCCCACCAAAACCCCAAUUUGACGACGUUGGACUGCACUUCUCAAACCUCCCUGCUCCUCCUCAGACACGCAGAGCUUGCAAGCUAAACGCCAAGCUUUUUCCACAGCUUAUGUUCUUGUAAAAACAGCUCCAAGUUCACACAUUCUGCUCCUCACUCCAGUCGGGACUCUGCAUGCCAAGCCCAGUAUUUAUUUUCAUUACUUUUGAGACCACCAAAAUUAAUGUAUCUUUCAGACAGGAAGAAUUUUAUUUAUUAUGGUGGAUUUAAAUCCAAGAGAUGAAAGAAAAUCAGCGCACAUCCUGAAGGUGAGCAGGGCUGGGAGCUGAUCCCCAACUUACCCUGUAGCACAUGGCCUACCCCUACACCAGCACUACUCUGGUUUGGCUGCUGUGGCACCAAGAGGCACAGGGUUAACAAAUUCCCUUGAAUGAUGGGAGGAUGCUGUUGGGAAGAUAAAACCAAUUGUAUUUUCCCCUUUACUACACAUCAGUGCCUGUCCCACUGGAGCAUGCCCAGGCCUUGCAAAGUCUAUGAUGGGACAGCCACCAGAUGAAGUAUCUGAUUAAACAUGCUGCUAAAACAGAGACACGCCUGGCUUGCACAGCAGUCUGCAGGCUCACCUUUCUGCGGAGCUCAGUUUAAGCUCAUGCCAUCACGUGAGAAAGAUCAGCUGUGUCCUUGGAAACGCAGGCCCUGCAGUGGUUGGGAUUUUCCUCACAUUUCUUAAUUCUCUUGCUCUGGAUCCCAUCACAACCCUGUUUUGAAAGGGCAGAAAUGAAACUUUAGUUCAUUGAAGAAAAAAAAAAAA